GACGAACGCUGGCGGCGUGCUUAACACAUGCAAGUCGAACGGAAAGGCCCUGCUUUUGUGGGGUGCUCGAGUGGCGAACGGGUGAGUAACACGUGAGUAACCUGCCCUUGACUUUGGGAUAACUUCAGGAAACUGGGGCUAAUACCGGAUAGGAGCUCCUGCUGCAUGGUGGGGGUUGGAAAGUUUCGGCGGUUGGGGAUGGACUCGCGGCUUAUCAGCUUGUUGGUGGGGUAGUGGCUUACCAAGGCUUUGACGGGUAGCCGGCCUGAGAGGGUGACCGGGCACGGUGUGAAGGAGAGCCCGCAGAGGAGGCGAGGGGGGGGAGGAGGGGCAAGUAUGAGAGCUAGAGCGGAAGCUUGGGCGACCGACGGGGGGGGGGGGAUGUCGUCGGUGUGGUGUGAAACCGCUGUCGCUUGGGGCGAAGGGGGGGUGAGGGUAAGGGCUAAAGGAACACCGACUAAGUACGUGCCAGCAGGCGCUGUAAUGAUCGAACAGCAUACUUUGACU
rnacentral:rRNA from 1 species